rnacentral:lncRNA from 1 species
GUGUCCUGGAGGGGCUGCUGGACUCAGGGGAGGUGCCUUCUUUCUCCAGUUCUCAGUGAAGUCAGUCUUCAUCAAGAGUAAGCACAACAGAAGCACACAGCCUCUUCCAUUUGGACAGCAAGACUGUGGGGCAUUGCAAUGCAGAGAAAUGUCAAAGAGAAUAUCCACCUUUAAAUCACAAACCAUCUAUAGAAGCAGAGGAGAGAGCAAAACAUCCAGCAGCAGGUACAAGAAAUCACUUAGUAACUAUGUAAAGUGAGACUCGAUGAUAGAAGUAGAAGUAAUCCUGGCAUUCUAAACCAAUAAAGAGAAGAGGAAAUGGCAAUUGAAGCUAUUCCUUUGGAUCCAGAGAUGGAAGCCACAGGUUAAGGAUGGCAGACCUCCCAACCUUCCUGACUGUUCGGCUGAUUCCAGGAGAACUGAUGAGCACAGGCUGGAAGUUACCAGUUUAUCUCUUAGAAUCUACUAUUUGCUACAUGGACAUGCAGGUUCUUUUCACAUCAUUUCCAGUAUCACUCAAUUCAGGGCCUGAUCUGGAUGCAGAGUUGACGUGUGGUGUUCCAAGGUCCCAUCUACUCAGUGUUGAUAUAAUGACUCUCCAAGGUAAAGAAAUGGUCACAUAUUAACUGAGGAACUCUUUU